rnacentral:rRNA from 1 species
CCAAAGAGGGGGACCUUCGGGCCUCUUGCCAUCAGAUGUGCCCAGAUGGGAUUAGCUAGUAGGUGGGGUAACGGCUCACCUAGGCGACGAUCCCUAGCUGGUCUGAGAGGAUGACCAGCCACAGGGCGCAAGCCUGAUGCAGCCAUGCCGCGUGUAUGAAGAAGGCCUUCGGGUUGUAAAGUA